GCUCUGAUGAGGAAUAUAUUCCUCACCUUUGUUUAUGGACAACUUCAGACUUCGAGAACUUCCAAAAUCACAUCCUGAUGUUUGCAGGAAAGCAUUUUGGCUUUAGCCCACCUGUAUACACAGCUCAGACAUUGCUUGUAACACUUGGUUACAACCACCGCCUUCCUGCACGAAACCGUGAUGGGACACAAGAUUUACCGAUGGUUCUACAAUAAAAACAUGAAGAGCGGGAGUGUGUAUACCCUGAAAGAGAAAAAGGACUAUGGCUACUGUACAUCCCUGAACUACAGAAGGCCACUCUUUCAAAGAGGCUUCAGAGUGGAAAGGGCCUUCCCAGGAGACAGAGUCUGAGGCCUGGAGAUCCAAGGCCCCUGGGUCUGCUGCCACAUCACAACCACAACCACACAUGGACUGGUAAAAACUAAGGUGUCACGUGGAGAUGCAGGUCCUCAUGAUGACAGCUAAAACUUUGAUUGCCUGUUGUUAUAUCUGUCUCAAUACUCGGGAGCAAAGCUCCAGGAUUUCAGGACAGAGUAAAAUAAUUCACUGACAUAAUUUCUUGUUCAUGUCUUGUCACAAUCCCUAAAUAAAUGUUGCUGUAAUUGCAAAUGAUCUGAUUAUCAUAACCUAUUUUCUCAUAACUUCUCACUUGAAUCAAAAUCUCUGGGAGAUUCUCUGCAUUUGGUGUUUUUCACAAUGAAUAUAAUUCGGAAUCGGAAAGAUAUAUAUAUUUUUUAUUCUGUAAACAAGGACAGAACUCAACAUUUCUGACUUGUACAUAAUAAAAUGUAUAAAAAUAAAAACUAUUUACAUUGAAAGUGUAACCCAGCUAAACACUGUUAUUCACGCCAGCCAGUGCAAAAGAAAU